AGAUUAAGUUAUUAAGGGCGCACGGUGGAUGCCUUGGCACUAGAAGCCGAUGAAGGACGUUACUAACGACGAUAUGCUUUGGGUAGCUGUAAGUAAGCGUUGAUCCAGAGAUUUCCGAAUGGGGGAACCCAGCAUGAGUUAUGUCAUGUUAUCGACAUGUGAAUUCAUAGCAUGUCAGAAGGCAGACCCGGAGAACUGAAACAUCUUAGUACCCGGAGGAAGAGAAAGAAAAAUCGAUUCCCUGAGUAGCGGCGAGCGAAACGGGAAGAGCCCAAACCAACAAGCUUGCUUGUUGGGGUUGUAGGACACUCUAUACGGAGUUACAAAAGAACAUGUUAGACGAAUCAUCUGGAAAGAUGAAUCAAAGAAGGUAAUAAUCCUGUAGUCGAAAACAUAUUCUCUCUUGAGUGGAUCCUGAGUACGACGGAGCACGUGAAAUUCCGUCGGAAUCUGGGAGGACCAUCUCCUAAGGCUAAAUACUCUCUAGUGACCGAUAGUGAACCAGUACCGUGAGGGAAAGGUGAAAAGUACCCCGGAAGGGGAGUGAAAGAGAACUUGAAACCGUGUGCUUACAAGUAGUCAGAGCCCGUUAAUGGGUGAUGGCGUGCCUUUUGUAGAAUGAACCGGCGAGUUACGAUCUGAUGCAAGGUUAAGCAGCAAAUGUGGAGCCGCAGCGAAAGCGAGUCUGAAUAGGGCGUUGAGUAUUUGGUCGUAGACCCGAAACCAGGUGAUCUACCCUUGGUCAGGUUGAAGUUCAGGUAACACUGAAUGGAGGACCGAACCGACUUACGUUGAAAAGUGAGCGGAUGAACUGAGGGUAGCGGAGAAAUUCCAAUCGAACUUGGAGAUAGCUGGUUCUCUCCGAAAUAGCUUUAGGGCUAGCCUCAAGUGAUGAUUAUUGGAGGUAGAGCACUGUUUGGACGAGGGGCCCCUCUCGGGUUACCGAAUUCAGACAAACUCCGAAUGCCAAUUAAUUUAACUUGGGAGUCAGAACAUGGGUGAUAAGGUCCGUGUUCGAAAGGGAAACAGCCCAGACCACCAGCUAAGGUCCCAAAAUAUAUGUUAAGUGGAAAAGGAUGUGGCGUUGCCCAGACAACUAGGAUGUUGGCUUAGAAGCAGCCAUCAUUUAAAGAGUGCGUAAUAGCUCACUAGUCGAGUGACACUGCGCCGAAAAUGUACCGGGGCUAAACAUAUUACCGAAGCUGUGGAUUGUCCUUUGGACAAUGGUAGGAGAGCGUUCUAAGGGCGUCGAAGCAUGAUCGCAAGGACAUGUGGAGCGCUUAGAAGUGAGAAUGCCGGUGUGAGUAGCGAAAGACGGGUGAGAAUCCCGUCCACCGAUUGACUAAGGUUUCCAGAGGAAGGCUCGUCCGCUCUGGGUUAGUCGGGUCCUAAGCUGAGGCCGACAGGCGUAGGCGAUGGAUAACAGGUUGAUAUUCCUGUACCACCUAGUAUCGUUUUAAUCGAUGGGGGGACGCAGUAGGAUAGGCGAAGCGUGCUGUUGGAGUGCACGUCCAAGCAGUAAGGCUGAGUGUUAGGCAAAUCCGGCACUCAUAAGGCUGAGCUGUGAUGGGGAGAGGAAAUUGUUUCCUCGAGUCGUUGAUUUCACACUGCCGAGAAAAGCCUCUAGAUAGAUAACAGGUGCCCGUACCGCAAACCGACACAGGUAGUCAAGAUGAGAAUUCUAAGGUGAGCGAGCGAACUCUCGUUAAGGAACUCGGCAAAAUGACCCCGUAACUUCGGGAGAAGGGGUGCUCUUUAGGGUUCACGCCCAGAAGAGCCGCAGUGAAUAGGCCCAAGCGACUGUUUAUCAAAAACACAGGUCUCUGCUAAACCGUAAGGUGAUGUAUAGGGGCUGACGCCUGCCCGGUGCUGGAAGGUUAAGAGGAGUGGUUAGCUUCUGCGAAGCUACGAAUCGAAGCCCCAGUAAACGGCGGCCGUAACUAUAACGGUCCUAAGGUAGCGAAAUUCCUUGUCGGGUAAGUUCCGACCCGCACGAAAGGCGUAACGAUUUGGGCACUGUCUCAACGAGAGACUCGGUGAAAUCAUAGUACCUGUGAAGAUGCAGGUUACCCGCGACAGGACGGAAAGACCCCGUGGAGCUUUACUGUAGCCUGAUAUUGAAAUUCGGCACAGCUUGUACAGGAUAGGUAGGAGCCUUUGAAACGUGAGCGCUAGCU
rnacentral:rRNA from 1 species